AGCGCAAAAGAUGACAUCAGUGGCAACAGAAAAUAACUCAUCAGAGAGAGCCAGCAAUCGAGAGCCAGUAACCUCCACCCUACAGAUGGCUACUUAGCAAUAACCAGCCUUGGAAGACUUAAGUCCCUCUUAUUUUGAUACUGCAGCAGGAGAAGAAAGACCUCUCCGUUCUGCAACCUUGAGGCAACUGGCAACUCUCCCAUCGGCCCACAGUGGUGAAACAAACUUCCCAAAUUGGUCGGGACAGCAGACAGACCUCUUCAGACUGCACACUGACUCACCUCUCCACUCUAUAGCUUUAUGUUUCUAUUAGGGCUUGUUAUGG